rnacentral:rRNA from 1 species
AGCGAACGCUGGCGGCAGGCCUAACACAUGCAAGUCGAACGAAGUCUUCGGACUUAGUGGCGGACGGGUGAGUAACACGUGGGAACGUGCCUUUAGGUUCGGAAUAACUCAGGGAAACUUGUGCUAAUACCGAAUGUGCCCUUCGGGGGAAAGAUUUAUCGCCUUUAGAGCGGCCCGCGUCUGAUUAGCGAGUUGGUGGGGUAAUGGCCCACCGAGGCUACGAUCAGUAGCUGGUCUGAGAGGAUGACCAGCCACGUUGGGACUGAGACACGGCCCAAACUCCUACGGGAGGCAGCAGUGGGGAAUCUUGCGCAAUGGGCGAAAGCCUGACGCAGCCAUGCCGCGUGGAUGAUGAAGGUCUUAGGAUUGUAAAAUCCUUUCACCGGUGAAGAUAAUGACUGUAGCCGGAGAAGAAGCCCCGGCUAACUUCGUGCCAGCAGCCGCCGUAAGAC